CAGAAAAGUGGACUUUUCUGUAGAAUGACCCAUUCAUUGUAAAAUGAAGUAAAUAUUAAAAAUGAACAACUUUCAUGUUAGCCUAUGGGAAAAAAUAAUGGAGUAACUUCAACCUACUAACUAAUUAAAGAUGUCAUCAGAUCAUGUGUGCUUUCAGCAGUUAAAAUUUUAAACAUCAAAAUCAUGAUGCCCCCCAAUAGUAGGCUACUGAAUAUAAGAUGUGGGAUAAUAUAAGAAUGGGACAUUUUAUCCAAGUCAUCUCAAUGGUAAAAAGUGUCCCAAUCACCCUGAACUGGAGCUCUAAAAUAAUGUUAUUGACUUCAACUGAUGAAUGCAGCCAAAGAAAAGAUGAAGAAUGGAAAAGCACUUUGCUGGCAAAGAAAUUGGAAAAUAACACAGGUAAGACAAUUCCUAUACCCAUAAAUACCUGUCAAACAUGGUUUUAUUAAAGAAAAGUUAUUUUAAAAAAAUUACUUUAAUUUUUACACAUAAGAAAGGUAUAGCAUGUGGCAAAAAGUGUAAUAUAGCCACACUGUGAGAUACAAGCAAGUGACAAUCGAGUGACGUCAUUCUUUAGGUUACGCGCAUGUAUCCAUGGCAACGCUCGGCGUCGACAGUUAACGGUCCUGCCGGUGAUUUUCUCAGAUGAGGCCUUGAGUUUUCUCUUUCGUCGGUCAAAAAGGUUAGAAGCCAUAGAAAAAACUGCCAUCGGACUGCCACAGCUGACAACGAGAGACGCGCGUGCACAACUGCAUAACACACACACACACACACACACACACACACACACACACGGAAAGAGCACAACAAUUAUGAAACUGAUAAUUUAUUAUAAAUAAAUAAAUGUAUUUUUCUCCUUA